rnacentral:rRNA from 1 species
GGACGAACGCUGGCGGCGUGCUUAACACAUGCAAGUCGAACGGAAAGGCCCUGCUUUUGUGGGGUGCUCGAGUGGCGAACGGGUGAGUAACACGUGAGUAACCUGCCCUUGACUUUGGGAUAACUUCAGGAAACUGGGGCUAAUACCGGAUAGGAGCUCCUGCUGCAUGGUGGGGGUUGGAAAGUUUCGGCGGUUGGGGAUGGACUCGCGGCUUAUCAGCUUGUUGGUGGGGUAGUGGCUUACCAAGGCUUUGACGGGUAGCCGGCCUGAGAGGGUGACCGGCCACAUUGGGACUGAAAUACGGCCCAGACUCCUACGGGAGGCAGCAGUGGGGAAUAUUGCACAAUGGGCGGAAGCCUGAUGCAGCAACGCCGCGUGCGGGAUGACGGCCUUCGGGUUGUAAACCGCUUUCGCCUGUGACGAAGCGUGAGUGACGGUAAUGGGUAAAGAAGCACCGGCUAACUACGUG